rnacentral:rRNA from 1 species
CUACGGGCGGCUGCAGUGGGGAAUAUUGGACAAUGGGCGCAAGCCUGAUCCAGCAAUGCCGCGUGUGUGAAGAAGGCCUGCGGGUUGUAAAGCACUUUCAGUGGGGAGGAAGGGGUAAUGCCUAAUAAGUAUUAUCAUUGACGUUACCCGCAGAAGAAGCACCGGCUAACUCUGUGCCAGCAGCCGCGGUAAUACAGAGGGUGCGAGCGUUAAUCGGAAUUACUGGGCGUAAAGGGUGCGUAGGUGGCAUCGUAAGUCAGGCGUGAAAGCCCUGGGCUCAACCUGGGAAUUGCGUUUGAAACUACGAAGCUAGAGUGCAGUAGAGGGAAGUGGAAUUUCCAGUGUAGCGGUGAAAUGCGUAGAUAUUGGAAGGAACAUCAGUGGCGAAGGCGACUUCCUGGACUGUUACUGACACUGAGGCACGAAAGCGUGGGGAGCAAACAGGAUUAGAUACCCGAGUAGUC